UUACAGCAAUGAGAGAGUAACCAACACCAUCCAUGUCAACACACGUUGGGAUUGGAGCUCAGCGGCUGAAAACACAAACUGCUCUUCUGGAGGACCUGACUUCAGCUCCCAGUAUCCACACUGGAGGGCCGGUAACUACCCAUAACUCCAGUUCCAGGCAUCUGAUGCCCUCUUCUGGUCUCUGCCAAGAGAUCCCCCUCUCUAGUACCAAAAAGAUGUGUGACCCCAGUUUGAUCAGUAAAAAAAUUUUCUGAGUCCUCAUGUAUAAGCCCAAGAGGGAGACAGAGAGACCAAAGCUGCCAGUGCCAGUGUACCCUUCUACCAUGACAAAUGAACUCAUCACCUUUGGGUGAGGUCAGGGGAAGACAGAAGAGGGACCAAACGGCCUAAAACAUAAGACUAAAGACUUACCUUUCAGUGGACAGUGCAAAAUGGGAGAGAACCCAAGUAACAGCAGGGCCAGGAAUCUAGAGGGGAGACGUCCGUCCAUUUAAAGUUUCUUUAGAGUUAUUCUUGUCAUGUAAGAUCACCUUGACUAGAAAUGCAGUCCGCAGGAGCUCACCCUGAACAGAUGGCCUCAUGGAAGGGGCUGAGUGUUGUAGAAACCUCAGAAGAUCAGCUUCAAAAGAGACUCCAGCCUCGGACUUCCUCGUCAAAUCAAGGACUGGAGGAUGGGCGUGGGAGAAGCGUUCAGCCACACUGGCCUUGGAAGCUGCACCAUAAAGUGGGGAUUCCAGGCACAGAAAUGUGAUGAGCUGCAUCUAUUUGACCUUCACAAGGGUUUUAAGCUCCAGCAAAGGAUGUGUUGAGCCUCACGUGAGGAAAGGAGAGUGAGAGGAAGAGCAGGUAAAGCUUUUCCGACCUUCCUUGGGGAAUAGCUGGUGUUAAUUAAAUGCAUCAAGCUGGUCCUGGGAGUGUGUCUAAUGCCAAGUAACCUUCAUCUUUGGCCUGUUAUGCCAAACCUUGGCUUUGAAGAAAAACAGCAAGCCUUUGUCCUUGGUGUGUGUGUAUGGGGGGCGGGGUGUGACACUAUACAAUGCCCUGUCUUAUUGAAUUAAAAAGUGAAUUCUAAAGUUAGAAUAUAUGUAAUUGGCUAGUAGAAAGCUUGAUGGUUAAAUUGAUGAGAUUAUGACACAUUUCUAGUCAGCUAAGAGUUAAUGAAUUAGACACUCUGUUUAACCUAGCAAGAUGAAAAAUCUGUGCUGCUUUUUCACAACAUGGCUCAGCUUUUUUUCAAUCAUGAAACUUAGCUAAUGAAAAAGAAUAUAGUUAAAUUAAACAAAUUUAAUACUCCCAGGAUUUACUGUGGGUUUUAAAAUUGGUGUCAGUGUGUUUGAUUGGACCUCUCUGUUGCAAGAACUUUCCCUGGGGCAGUGUGAACAGGGAUCUGCUCACCUGAGAGGUACCAACGGCAGACCAAAGGAAAAAUCCUACCUAAGCUUAGCUUGGUGAACCAGUGAGGCUAUUGUGGAUGCUUACAGAAGUAAGACAGUCAUAUCACCAAAAUGUCUACCACAAGAAGUGAUUUUUUUUUAAUUUGUGAGCUGUUUGCCAUCUCUACCACAGUGAGCGAUACAACCAAUUUGUGAAUACAAUUCCCAGAUGCAUGUACAUGCCUGCAGAUGAUCCAGCUCUC